UAUGGGUUCUAUUACUCUCUUUUACUUUUAAAGUAGGAAUAAAAGAUUAUAAGUUUAAAAAGUACCUGCAAGUACAAAAAAAGAGACACAUUUCUUUCAGGAAAUUGAGCUUAAGGUGCUAAUUACGGAGUGCCACCAUCAAUAGCUAAAGGCACGUGGCAAAAUUGCUGAUUUCCCAGCCUAUGUGAUAGUUGUUAGUACCAUGCUUGGGACCAACGAAGUAAAGGAACAAGAAACAGGUGCCAUUUGGCAAUAGUGCUAUUGGUAGACACAAAGUCAUCAUGAAAGAUGUUUAUACAAACAGUAGAAUUCCAAAGACUAAUAAGUAAAAAAGCAUUUCCUGUGAAUUUAUGAAUAAACAGGUAUUAGUAUUACUCAGUUAAUAACACCGAUUGAAAUUAUUGAAAAGGAAUGCUUGGAAGCACAUCAUUUAUUUUGUAAAGAAGUACCAAAUAAAACUCCUGCACGUGAAGUAUUGAAAGUGAUAAAAUAUUGAAACUCUGAAACUAAUAAAAUAUUACAGCUCUGUUGGGAUCUGUGUUCUGGUUGUGUGGCUGCAAUAACAGAAAAGUGUAACAUUGUAUUUGUCAAUAAAAGAAAGGAAACAGGUAUAGAUUUAAAGGAUAAUUGUACUCUAGAAGCACAAUUUAAAUGUAUCAAACCAUCCAGACUAGUGGCAAGGAAGAUUUCAUCAGGAAAAAAAUGAUACACACCCUGCCAUUUGCUACCACUUAUCUGUGUGAACAGAGUUUCUUAUUGAUGGUGGCAUCCAAAGAAUUUGAAGAGAUAGAUCAUGGUUUAAAAGGCUUGAGUAGACAUUUUAAGUGUACAAUCUGUUUUAAAAUAAAUAUCUCAUAUAUAAAUUCAAUAUUUAGUGCUUUUCAUAAUACUUUGUAUUUUAAUAAAAAAAAAAUACAUUUUCCCACAAAGCUUAUAUAGUCAUUAUAGAAUCCCCUUGAGUUUGCCCCCAUGUUGAAACAAUGCAAAAAGUUGGGGAACAUUGGCUUUCGAGUCUGGAACCCAGCCCUCUGGUCUUGAGAGCAGAGGUGAAGACCUCUGUUUGCGAAUUUGUGAGUAACCUUGGACAGUCGCAUCGAGUAGGAGAAAAAACGGAUGCAAUGAUGUUAACCACUGUGGACUCUAGACCUUUCCUCAGUUUUCUAGUGGUAGAGAGAACCCCGGUGAUGACUGAAAUUUACCUUCCCUUUUAUAGGUUGGUCACUGUGGGGGACUGAGUGAGCAGACUUAAUUUGAUUUAGGUAAAUGAAUGUGACAUUUCUUACAGCUGACUGUAAAAUGCAGUAACACUACACUGUCAUGGUGGCAUGAGAAGAAGUGCAGGUGGAUUGCAGGGCACCAGGAAGUCAAGUGCUCUGGUGACAAUGGUGAUUUUACAGAUGAUGGAGCCAGCUGGCUUCUUUGGACAGGUAUGAAGACCAUGCAGGAGAGAAAGAUAAAUUGAAACUGUGAAUAUCUCAUUGAGAACAAAGUGGACAAUCAGCAAGACUUCAUGGCAGAAGGAAUCCCUCAUUUCUUGCAGUUCCAGGGAAGAAAUAAAUGAAAAUGGAGCUUAGUACUUCCUGCUUAAGUGCUACAGUUGUGCAGGAUCAAUUAAUCACUUAACCUGCCAGGUUUGUUAUGCCGAAGUCAGGGCGCUGAUGGGGAAGGAGUCGACUCUGAGACACCACAUGGGGACAUUUGAUCAGACAUAUAUAUAUGAGUUGAGAACUUUGAACCUUCAUAUGUCCUUGAGGCUCCAUUGACAACUGAGGUAGACAAUCACUGUCCUUUCCCACUGCAUGUGAAGCAUUUCAGUGUCUGCACCUGAGCCAAGUUGCCUCACAGGCUAAUGCGAGUUCUCCUCAUGACCCCUGUAGAGCCCUGACAGGGAAUUUGCAAGGCUACUGUGAAAGCAAAUGGCCUAAACUCCAAAAUGUUAAAGAAACUUGUCAACUGGGUGUUGUUCACGGAAAUAUAUUGUAAAUGUGUUCAACCAAGAUUGGACUGAAUUUGUCAAUAAGGGUGGGCCCAUCUAGGAUUUGGGAUGCAAUGAACUGAUUUGAACACCUGGAGGUGAUGUUAGUUUAUUGUCUGCUAGGUUAACUAAUGGAAGCUUAGAUGUGGUGGUGGUUUACAAUAAGUAAGGCUGAAAUACUAUCAUUUCUUUGACAUAAUGUAAUGAUCCUUAAAGUUGGAGCUUUAAAAAACACUGAUGCUUGAGUGACUCCCUGGAGAUUCUUAUUUAAGUGGUUUGUGUUGCCAUGUGGGCAGAGGGAUUUAAAGAAUCCUCAGGUGAUUUUCACAUGUUGCUAAGGUUGAGUGAUUUCUGUACAGGAAACUCAGGGAUGAGGAUGCUGGAGUACAUCUAUUAUGUACAAUCCACACAGCUGUCCAUUAAUCACACACCUCAGGAUGACCAUAGAAAUGUAUUGGCAAGGGGCACACUGGCAUCCAGGAGAGCUCACUGGACUUCCCUCUCUAGGCUGGAGGUGAUGGUGUGGGUGCUGCAGCAGGUUUGCAGCUCUGAUGGGAAUGAACAGGAUUGCAGAGUGGAAGAGGCCAGAUGGUGGCACCUCUCAUCAAAAGCAAGAUUCAAGGAGCACACGUGCAGGUUUGUUACCUGGGCCUAUUGCAUAAUGGUGAGGCAUGGCUUCUGGUGUAUCCAUCACCCACACAGUGAACAUUGUACCCCUUUCAGUCAAUGGAAAAUUGAAGCACCCAAUAAAGAAGAGCACUGAGGACCUGGAUUGCACAGAAAUGGAGGCUUGACUCAACUGUAAAGUGAAGAACAGCAUCCAGCAGAGGUGCUGGCAGAGGGUGAGGGGAACAUGGGAUGGGUGGUAGAACAAGGCAGCUGUGAUUACCAAACUUGGCUUUGGUGAGUAACUAUAGAAAUCAAGGAGUCUUGAUGUUCUAUUUAACUGUUUCCUCCCUAUCCCUGCCUUUUUCUCUAACCACCUUACAUGAGUAACACUGGGAGUGGCUUUUAAAAGUUUCAGAUAGGAGUAUGAUUACAUUGACCUAAUGUGAUGAUUCAGGAUUUCACCUGUGAGAGGGAACACAAAUGUCUUACCCCAGAAAGAAGAAUAUGGACCUGAAGGGCAAGAGGCAUGGACUAUGCUGGAUAAUUUCCAGUUACCUUUCCAAAUCCACUCUCCAUGCUUCUCUCCUGGCUGUCUGCCCAGGAAGCUGACCUGCAUCUGUGUGGGCUUCCUUGCCUUCUGGCUUCUGGUUGCCCUUGGCUUCUGAGUUUGGCCAAGCGGGAGUAGUGAAAGGAACGUGGAGAAUGGGAAGUGUCAUGUCAGGUUCAAAUCGGCAUACUUGUGCUAACUCGAAUGGGAGUGGGGGUGAGGGAAUGAGGUUUCACAGUGACUCAGUGGCCAAUUAGUUGCUUACAAAUUCAUGGCUUAUUGCAAGGCUUUCAUAUGCUAGCAAUCAUGCAAAUAUAUUUUGCAGGGUGUCAGAGAGAGGUGGUUGUCGUUGCUCUUUUCCUGGUAGGGCUCCUGGUGGCGAUGCCAGAUAGAAAAGAGGACUGAGUUCUCAUGAGCAGAGCUUCUACAGGCAUCUCGCCAUGGCCAGUUUCUUUGUCGUUUUUAUGGCCCUGUGCAGGAGUGUCCGUAGUCAUGAUCUCAGCAGCUUUUGGCUUUGCUUUCUUUUUUCUUUUUUUUUUUGAGACGGAGUCUAGCUGUGUCGC